rnacentral:rRNA from 1 species
CACGUGGGGACCUGCCUGAUAGUAAGGAAAAACAGUUGGAAACGACUGCUAAUACCUUAUACUCCCUUCGGGGGAAAGAUUUAUCGCUAUCAGAUGGACCCGCGCUAGAUUAGAUAGUUGGUGAGGUAAUGGCUCACCAAGUCUGCGAUCUAUAGCUGGUUUGAGAAGAUGAUCAGCCACAUUGGGACUGAGACACGGCCCAGACUCCUACGGGAGGCAGCAGUGGGAAUAUUGUACAAUGGACGCAAGUCUGAUACAGCAAUGCCGCGUGAGUGAAGAAGGCCUUAGGGUUGUAAAACU